rnacentral:rRNA from 1 species
UGAGGAAUAUUGGACAAUGGGCGAAAGCCUGAUCCAGCAAUGCCGCGUGCAGGAUGAAGGCCUUCGGGAUGUAAACUGCUUUUGUACGGAACGAAAAAGCUUCUCCUAAUACGAGAGGCCCAUGACGGUACCGUAAGAAUAAGCACCGGCUAACUACGUGCCAGCAGCCGCGGUAAUACGUAGGGUGCGAGCGUUAAUCGGAAUUACUGGGCGUAAAGCGUGCGCAGGCGGUUAUAUAAGACAGAUGUGAAAUCCCCGGGCUCAACCUGGGAACUGCAUUUGUGACUGUAUAGCUAGAGUACGGCAGAGGGGGAUGGAAUUCCGCGUGUAGCAGUGAAAUGCGUAGGUAUGCGGAGGAACACCGAUGGCGAAGGCAAUCCCCUGGGCCUGUACUGACGCUCAUGCACGAAAGCGUGGGGAGCAAACA